rnacentral:misc_RNA from 1 species
AAGUCGUAACAAGGUUUCCGUAGGUGAACCUGCGGAAGGAUCAUCACGAGAGGGACGCCGCAAGGCGCACCACAACACUGUGUUGCCGAGCGAUGAGUGCAGUAGGCAAGCACCUACUGCACACGUCUAUUGACACUAUGCAAACCGAACUAGCUGAAUAGCAAGCAACCAACAAACAAAACUGUUAGCAACGGAUCACUUGGUUCUC